rnacentral:tRNA from 1 species
UCCUGGCUGGCUCAGUCGGUAGAGCAUGAGACUCUUGAUCUCCAGGUUGUGAGUUUGAGCCCCACGUUGGGUG